UCACCAUCAACAAAGGACUUCGGUGAUGCUUGGGUAUCACAUGACGCGAGACCACCCCCAAUCAUUGAAGCACGCUUUGCGGUGGAGCGUCUAGCUUUGAUCAACUGGAGCAGGAGCUGAAGGAGACCAACUCAAUCCGAGACACUCAGGCAGAACACUCAACUAAUGGAGAUCAACCAUCUCCUGCAGAUGACUGCUGACUUUUUUGAGGAGGCACGUUUAUUAUGUUUGUGACUGUUUUCUGCUCAUAGGAGUAUCCAGUGAAGAAGGAUGUGUUUGUUGUAUUUGUCCAAGGAGACCAGGUCAGAAGAAAGAUCAGAAAGUUAUGUGAUGGGUCCUGAAGAGGACAGAACAGUUCCGUGCGACUGCCCUUACUACAGCAGCAGCAGCCAACCUCCAGGAGUGGACCACUAAAGUAAAGAAGAUGAAGGCCAUCUAUUACACACUGAACCUCUGUAACAUAGACAUCACACAGAAGCUGAUUGUUGCUGAGAUUUGGGGUCCAGUGUCUGACUUAAACUCUGUGCACACCCGCUAUGAUAAAGGGAUCAAUAAGUACCCCGAACUUGAUUUAAUUACAAAGCAUUCAGGGUGUACACAGACAGAUUUAGGGUGCACAUCAAUGCAGAUUUCUUAAAAUUAACUGUGUGUGUAUGCAUGUGAAUACAAACACAUGCACGUGAAUACACAACCCCGCACACACAACCUGAUAUAGCCUUCGAAUUCUGCAACACUCCAUUCACAUAACAGACCAUGAGCUUAUUAACACAACUGAAGCAGCAAUGGCAGCCAAUCCAGAUGAAUGACAUCGCUACAACAAUAAGACAAUAAUUAAACUACAGUUUUAUGAUGUUUCCAAACGUUAUGUUUUUAUGUCUCAUUUAUCCUUUACCGGGUUGAAUUCCGAAACAAGUUCUACAAUGAAUCUGGGUACAAGUUCACACCACUUUACUUCGACAGGAUGCUCAACAUGCAGUGAUUUCAGAUAGAGAAACAUGCUAUUGCUAUUGCUAAAAGGCCAUUCUCAUAUGCAUUUAUUGUUUAUGUAGAUAUGUGUUUGUGUUAGUCAUUGAUCACAUUAAGUUGUGUUGAUCACACUCGAUAUGUGUGGUCCUCUGUAGCUCAGCUGGUAGCGCACGGCGCUUGUAAC